rnacentral:rRNA from 1 species
UACGUAGGGGGCGAGCGUUGUCCGGAUUCAUUGGGCGGAAAGAGCUCGUAGGCGGCUUGAUAAGUCGGGUGUGAAACCUCCAGGCUCAACCUGGAGUCGCCACUCGAUACUGUCAUGGCUAGAGUCCGGUAGGGGACCACGGAAUUCCUGGUGUAGCGGUGAAAUGCGCAGAUAUCAGGAGGAACACCGGUGGCGACGGCGGCAUCCUGGACCAACACUGACGCUGAGUGAGCGAAAGCCAGGGGAGCAAACGGG